rnacentral:tRNA from 1 species
CGGGGUGUGGCUCAGCUUGGUAGAGCGCUUGGUUCGGGACCAAGAGGCCGAGAGUUCAAAUCUCUCCACCCCGA